UCCUACGGCGGGGUUGGGAGUCCAGAAAGUUCCCUACAAAAAUGGUUGGCUUGGUUUGGGGCUCCUGUUGGACCCAGCAGAACCUGGAUGGAGAAUCUCCUACUUUAUCAAAGCCUGGCUCACUUCCUUGAAAUGAUCUUGCUCACUCCCACUGCCCCAAUGGGAAAACUGAGGCAGAAACGAAGGAAUGACCUGCUGGAAAUCAUAACCCAGAGUCUGACCUUUGGACUCGGAAUCCCACGCUGCGCUUUUCUGCACACGUAAUUCGUCCUGCUGCUUUAUUUGGUCUCUUUCCUUCCGAGCGGGAAACACAGCUGUUGGAGCUUUGGGGGAGGAUGUAAUGCUUAUUAAGACCCCCGCUCCCCAGGCAAUGGCUCAAUGGCUGAACUCCUGACCCUCGGGCUGCUGCAGGAAGUGUGACGUACUGGCUCCGGCUGGAUUCUGAGGUCCGUGGGGAGAGGCAGACAAGCCAGAUUGAAUUCUUGCGUCCAGGAGGUUAAAUAUGUGUAAGGGAAUGGCAGAGCUAAAGCUGCUGAUGCACUUCUCUCGGCUCCCGGAGGAAUCGGCUCUGCUGGAAUGACGUAUUGUACAAAUGCCUCUGUCAACCCUUACAGGAAUUUGGACUUUACUCAGUUUCGAGCAGAAGAACCUUAGCAAUAAAUACUACCGUGUGCCUCGAAACAUUACGAACCAGAACGAAAGGAGAUCUACCUGACUUCUGAGAAGAAACAAACCAGUGGCGUGAAAAAUAUACAACCGAGAUCAGUGAACGGGUUUAAAUGGACAUAAUAAGCAAUUUGAUGCCUGGGGGGAAAACACGGAGAUAAUAAAUACAAAUGACAAAUAUUUACAAUGGAAGCAACAAACAGGACAUCAGUAGGCGAACACAUAAAACAUUUACGCUGAGGAAAAUAUAAAAGCGAUGCCUUUCACACAUCCAGCCCAGGAGCCGACGAACAAACGAACGGCCGACCCAGCAACGCGGGAGAAUGUUAUUGUUUCAGCCUUUGAGUGAUGUAAGUAAAACGGUCAACGUGCUGCAGUGGCCCAUGGCAUGAGACAGCCAUGGUUUAUGCUUGGUUCCCAUGGCAGAGCCUGACACAUCGCUCCUCCUCCCCCCGCAGGCAGAGCUGGCUUUUCUGCUUCCUACAGCUCUAGCUCUUUCUAGGUGCUUCUCCCAGCAUUUUGUCACCUUCCCCCACCCCCCCCCAUACCCAAAUGGUUUCUUUCUAACGUGCACAUGAAAGAUUCGGGGAGAUGACCUUCCAGCCAGAGGCUGGAACCAAGGAGAUUGGAUUUGGGGUAUAUAAAUACUAGCUGGGUUGGGGUCAGGGCAUUCCCUGGAACAAGUUAUGUUAGAGUAGAUAAAUUUAGCUUCUCUAUCUCUGGCCUCAGGUUGCUUUGAGGGAGAGCUAUAAGCUGAUAUAAAUGGAGGAUGCUUCCUUUUUUGCCAACUCACUAGAACGGGGGUCAGAACACUCAGGCCCAAGAGCCAAAUCCAGUUGGGCACCUGUUAAAUAUAAUUUUACCAGAGUGGAGCCAAACCCCUUUGUUAUGUGUUGUCUCUGUAUGCCUGCUUUCAUGCUAUAAUGGCAGAGUUGCGUCUUUGGGACAGAAACCACAUGACCCACCAAACUGAAAAUAGUGUAUUUACUAUCUGGACUUUUACAGAAAGAGUUUGCUGACCGUUGCUCUAGAAGGAGCUGGCCCAGAACACCCGUCUAUUCUUUGUAAUACUGGCCUUCUAUUUGAGUACUGGCUGCAAGAAAGGAUAAGCUUUAAUGUGAUAACCCAGUGGGAAAGAAAAGGCCUAUCUAUGGAACAUUUUGAACAAUCACAAGAACCCCAGCGCUGACCCUUUAUUAUAAUCCUCUCCCUCCUUGCCUUGGAAUUUUACUUUUGUCCCUCCUCUCUUUCUUUUGUCCACUCAGACUCGUUUCUUCGUUGCUAAAUUUCCAGUCCGGAUCUGGAAAAUCCUGUCUCUCAGUGCUUCCUGGCGGUCUCCUCCAUUUAUGUAAAAAAGCUCAGCAUUUCUCGCUGGAAAUCACAGUCAUCUGGUUCUCUUCUCCCCCUUUCCAUGCUCUAAACCCAGAAGCCACGUUUCCAACUUGGCCUCAUGGCAUCGGAUACAGGGCUUUAUCGAUCUUGGCUGAGGGUCAAGGAGAGGUAACAAAAUGGUAAAGAAAAUCUGUCAAAUGUACUCCUCGUGUGUGCAUUUUCCUCCGGGUGUGUGGUUUGCCCUAAGUGGCUAGAAGCCCACGCCAGGCAGUUAGAUGUACAGGUACACCAUUCUUUGAUUCCUUUUAAAAUAUCACUCAAAAGAAAAAAAAAAAAAACCAGCCCCCAAAGAUGGGCUGUAUUUCUUUUUCCUUUGAGCUGGUUUUAAUGACCCAGUUGCUUUGUUUGAAAGCCAUUUAUUUAGACGACAGGUAUGUAGAUGUAACUGGAUAAAUAAAAAAGUGAAAUAGA